CACUCCCUGGCCAUACUGGGGACAGGGCAGACAAAGGGUGAGCCCUUACCUCUCUGAGCCUUGCCUCUGACAUGGGGAAGCCCCAGGGACAGGGAGGUCAUAGGCCCAGCAUCCCCAGCACUCUGCCCUUCCCCGACACCCUGUUCCCAGGCCCCAGGUACCAUCCGUCCUUUGUCUCCUCAGGGGUGCCCCACAGGGUGGGAAGGCAGAGGAGGCUGCCCAGCACUCAGGGCAUGUGUCCACUCACCACCCUGGCCCUGGACAGGGCGGGGCGCUCUGCAGGCCACUGCAUCCCUCACACAGCCCCCGGUAGACCCGUUCUCUUGGCUGUGAGUCUAGGGGAACCUGGGAGGCCCAAGACCACUCUUGGAACCCCACGGGCCCUGACCGAAGGCCACCACGCACCUCUUCCCCUCCUGAGGCAAAGGAGUGCUCACACCUCAGGCCACAGCCCAGGCCCUGGGAGGACAUGAAGGGUAGUGCCCACGCCAGGGCCCACAGCCAUUUCUCCCAGGUUUUCUGGGACCCCCAACCCUCCAUGUAGGGCAGCUCUGAGGGCUGGAGAGGGAGCAGGCCCUGCCAGGCAGCCUGGGUGGGUGUGGGCCAGGAGCCCAGGUUAGGGGGCACAGAGAUGGGGUCCUCUGAGGGCUGUGGCCGGCCCAGUGACCCCGAGUUCCAUCCACUCAGGGCCUGUUUCUUGGCUUUUGAGAUACGCUUGGGAGCAGCCAAGCACGGGCGAGGUGGCCCACACCUAUAAUCCUAGCAUUUUGAGAGGCUGAGGCAGGCAGAGCCAGGAGUUCAAGACCAGCCUGGGCAACAUGGCGAGACCCAGUCUCUACAAAAAUAAAAUAAUAAAGAAUUAGCUGAGCAUGGUGGCGCAUACCUGUGGUCCCCAAGACACAGGAGGCUGAGGUGGGAGGAUUCCUCAAGCCCAGGUGGAGGUUGAAUAUGCUGUGACUGCACCACUGCACUCCAGUCUGGGCAACAGAGUGAGAUCCUGUCUUAAAAGAUAAAAAUAGAAAAUAAAAUGAGCCUAGGGCAUGGAACAUCAAGGCUGCAGUGUGGACAGCAGCAGAACAGCCCCUUCUGGCCCCUGCCCUGGGCUGCAGCCUGGCUCCAGCAGGAAGGACUCGGGUCUCCAUGCUGGGCAUCCCAGCCUGUCCUCCUCUUUGCCCUCCCAACCCAUUCCUGGGCAGCAGAGGAGGGGUAAGGGCACAGGGCAGCCCCUCUGAACCAGGCUCCCCAAGGCCAUCUGGACACCAUGGCAACAUGGGCAGGAAGAGGCUUCCAUGGCAACUGACGUCCAGGGAGGUGCCAGCCUGGCAACGGGGCCACGGCCCUCCCAGCGAGCUGCGCUGGCCACACGUUCCGCCCUCGAGACCGGGAGUUCUGGCUUCCAGCCAGUGCCCCUGCCACAGCCACGCCCUGUCCUACACGACAUCCCAGAGCCUGGACCUGAGGCAAAUCCCCAUGCCCACCGCAAUCCAAGACACUGCUUGGCAGGGCACUUGGCCUUUGUUAAGCUAGCAUAUCUGAUCCUGUGGGUGGGGGACCCCCGGGCUGGGGAUCCAGGGCCCCAUCUCUCCAAGAGUCCCCCACCUUCUCGGGCUCAGGGCGAUUGGCAAGGACUACAGGGAGGGGUGAGAGGGGCUGGAGGAGGAGGGGCUCCCUAGGGUGACUGACAGAGCAGCAGCAUCCAUCCCCUGCACAGGCGGGGAGAGGGGCUGGGGCGUCAGGGAGCUUGGGGUUUCCAGGCCAAGGAGGGUAGUGCCCAGGGUCAAGGGUGACGGGAGGACACUGGGCCAUUCAGGGUGUCCUGGGUGCCUCCUCGGGCCCACUGGGGAAUCUCAUCCGGGCCUGGGCACCUAUGGUGGGAUCUAAGGACCCCACCCUGCUGUUCGCCCAGGAAGCCAGUGUUGUCUUCCUUUUACAGGAGCCACCCGUCUCCGUGAAGAUCUCUCCCUCUUCAUCAUCCUGGCCCCUGUGGGGUACCUGGCAGGCUGGGGACACACAGAAGAGCUAAACAGACGCCUCCAGCAGCCAGGACCAGGUGUCCAGCCACCUCUGCUGGGGAGGCCCCACGUGGCACCACGAACAGGAGAGAGGUCAUCUGCAGACAAGAUAUUUCGACACACUUCUUGAGGUGGUGAGCGGAGGCUGAUGUAGCAGGACAGCCUGGCAGGAAGAAGGUAAGUGGCUGGCAAGCUGUGGCCUCGUCACUGGUAUGAAGAGACCAGUGGUAUGCUGCGAACAAGCAUGGCAGGACAGCAGUGGGAGCUGGUACUGUCCCCACUCUAGACUGCAGCCCUGCAGCCAGAGAUGAGUGGGAGCCGGUACUGUCCCCACUCCAGACUGUGGCCCUGCAGCCUGAGACACCGCCUGGAGGCAGGAGGCCUCCCUUCCAAGACCUGGCUAUCCGGCUUUCUCAAGUUAAAGAGAGGAGUGCCUGGCAGCUCUGCCUGCCUCCCCUAUUAACAGGGAUAGAAAAGAAAGAAAAGCCAGACAUUUGAGCACUGAGUCUCAUGGGAAGUUCCAAGACUAAACAAAAAAAAACAAGAGAGAAAAUGCAGAAAGCAAAAGAUUCGUCUUUCCCCAAACCCACUUUAUCCCUAAGAGCAGAACAGAAUUCUCUGGAGCAAGAAGAGGGGAGCUCGGGGAAUGAUGGAGAUGUCUUGGAAAUGAAAAACAGGACUGCUAAAA